CUUGACGUCGGAGAUCCAAUGGCCAGCUGUUACGUAUCGCGUCACUCCUUUCGCCAGCUGAUCGCAGACGCCGGUAAACGUGAGGGGCGAAAACGAAGGAAUGACUUUACUACUGAGGGCACCAUAUUCUGAGGAAGCAGAAGACAAUUGCGUGAUCCUUAAGAUUAGUUUGGAGUGGAUGCUGACGAUGUGUGACUUUCAGUGAAUAUUGGCUGACCUACAAUAGUUCUUCUCUGGCAAACUUUAUGACUCUGUCCUGAUGCUAAAGCUGCCAGCUGAAGAACUGUUGUGGGCAGCCCUGCCCAGCGUGUACCAAAAUGGACCUUGUUUGCUCUGGAUCAUCUCUGUUGUGAAUCUUUCAAUAAUGAUGUAAUUAUUUUUUUUUCUUUAUGUUUGAUCUUUAAUUUCCGUUUGAAAAGGUUCCAUACCUAAAAAAUAUGACAAUAAAAU